rnacentral:rRNA from 1 species
UCCCGGUUUAAGCGUGUAGGCUGGUUUUCCAGGCAAAUCCGGAAAAUCAAGGCUGAGGCGUGAUGACGAGGCACUACGGUGCUGAAGCGACAAAUGCCCUGCUUCCAGGAAAAGCCUCUAAGCAUCAGGUAACAUCAAAUCGUACCCCAAACCGACACAGGUGGUCAGGUAGAGAAUACCAAGGCGCUUGAGAGAACUCGGGUGAAGGAACUAGGCAAAAUGGUGCCGUAACUUCGGGAGAAGGCACGCUGAUAUGUAGGUGAAGCGACUUGCUCGUGGAGCUGAAAUCAGUCGAAGAUACCAGCUGGCUGCAACUGUUUAUUAAAAACACAGCACUGUGCAAACACGAAAGUGGACGUAUACGGUGUGACGCCUGCCCGGUGCCGGAAGGUUAAUUGAUGGGGUUAGCGGUAACGCGAAGCUCUUGAUCGAAGCCCCGGUAAACGGCGGCCGUAACUAUAACGGUCCUAAGGUAGCGAAAUUCCUUGUCGGGUAAGUUCCGACCUGCACGAAUGGCGUAAUGAUGGCCAGGCUGUCUCCACCCGAGACUCAGUGAAAUUGAACUCGCUGUGAAGAUGCAGUGUACCCGCGGCAAGACGGAAAGACCCCGUGAACCUUUACUAUAGCUUGACACUGAACAUUGAGCCUUGAUGUGUAGGAUAGGUGGGAGGCUUUGAAGUGUGGACGCCAGUCUGCAUGGAGCCGACCUUGAAAUACCACCCUUUAAUGUUUGAUGUUCUAACGUGGGCCCCUUACCGGGGUUGCGGACAGUGUCUGGUGGGUAGUUUGACUGGGGCGGUCUCCUCCUAAAGAGUAACGGAGGAGCACGAAGGUUGGCUAAUCCUGGUCGGACAUCAGGAGGUUAGUGCAAUGGCAUAAGCCAGCUUGACUGCGAGCGUGACGGCGCGAGCAGGUGCGAAAGCAGGUCAUAGUGAUCCGGUGGUUCUGAAUGGAAGGGCCAUCGCUCAACGGAUAAAAGGUACUCCGGGGAUAACAGGCUGAUACCGCCCAAGAGUUCAUAUCGACGGCGGUGUUUGGCACCUCGAUGUCGGCUCAUCACAUCCUGGGGCUGAAGUAGGUCCCAAGGGUAUGGCUGUUCGCCAUUUAAAGUGGUACGCGAGCUGGGUUUAGAACGUCGUGAGACAGUUCGGUCCCUAUCUGCCGUGGGCGCUGGAGAACUGAGGGGGGCUGCUCCUAGUACGAGAGGACCGGAGUGGACGCAUCACUGGUGUUCGGGUUGUCAUGCCAAUGGCACUGCCCGGUAGCUAAAUGCGGAAGAGAUAAGUGCUGAAAGCAUCUAAGCACGAAACUUGCCCCGAGAUGAGUUCUCCCUGAGACUUAGAGUCUCCUGAAGGAACGUUGAAGACGACGACGUUGAUAGGCCGGGUGUGUAAGCGCAGCGAUGCGUUGAGCUAACCGGUACUAAUGAACCGUGAGGCUUAACCUUACAA